UCUUGAGAGCGGCGGACGGGUGAGUAAUACCUAGGAAUCUGCCUGGUAGUGGGGGAUAACGUUCGGAAACGGACGCUAAUACCGCAUACGUCCUACGGGAGAAAGCAGGGGACCUUCGGGCCUUGCGCUAUCAGAUGAGCCUAGGUCGGAUUAGCUAGUUGGUGAGGUAAUGGCUCACCAAGGCUACGAUCCGUAACUGGUCUGAGAGGAUGAUCAGUCACACUGGAACUGAGACACGGUCCAGACUCCUACGGGAGGCAGCAGUGGGGAAUAUUGGACAAUGGGCGAAAGCCUGAUCCAGCCAUGCCGCGUGUGUGAAGAAGGUCUUCGGAUUGUAAAGCACUUUAAGUUGGGAGGAAGGGCAUUAACCUAAUACGUUAGUGCUUUGACGUUACCGACAGAAUAAGCACCGGCUAACUCUGUGC
rnacentral:rRNA from 1 species